rnacentral:rRNA from 1 species
AGCGAACGCUGGCGGCGUACUUAACACAUGCAAGUCGAACGGGGAUCGUUGCGUGAGUAAUCACGCUAUGGUCCUAGUGGCGCACGGGUGAGUAACACGUGGGUAACCUGCCCUGGAGACCGGGAUACCCUCUCGAAAGGGAGGCUAAUACCGGAUACGUUCCCUGGACCGAAAGAUCUGGGGAGGAAAGGUGGCGCAAGCUGCCGCUCUUGGAGGGGCUCGCGGCCUAUCAGCUAGNGGUGAGGUGAUGGCUCACCAAGGCGAUGACGGGUAGCUGGUCUGAGAGGACGACCAGCCACACGGGGGACUGAGACACGGCCCCCGACUCCUACGGGAGGGCAGCAGUGGGGAAUUUUCCGCAAUGGGCGAAAGCCUGACGGAGUGACGCCGCGUGGGGGACGAAGGCCU